AAAUGGCGUCACCCAGCCGCUAGUCUCUUACCAGAUCUCUGUUCUCCCUGAUCAGCAAUUGCGCACCGUCCUUUGUCUUCGACUUCCAUCCGUUCCCUGCUUUUACACCCUCCGUGACCAAGCCCCAGGCAGCACCUCCCUUCUGAGUUUUAUCUCAGAUGCGGGUGUGUUUCCCGACCCCGUAUUUCUGCGAGACUGUGGCCUCCAGCCGUUCUGCCCCUCUGUGGAGGGUCUCACCAAGCAAUGCCUGGGUGCCGGCCACACCCAGGAACGUUCGAGAGACCGUGCUGCUGCCGAGGCCCAGAGACCGCGACCGGGUGCCAGCCCGCCCCAGAAAGUUUGCGCGACAGUGUAGCAGCAGCGUUUCAGGGAUUAUGGCAAAUCACGACCCGCGUCUGGCACCAGGCUUCACCCCUAGGGUCCGUGUUCCAGCACCAGCGAAUGUGGUUUUUCUUUGGGGUCUGCCGAGGUGGCCACACAGACUCUACCAGAUGCCCUCCCAGCAGGGGAACCGCCUCUCCCGUGUGGCCCGAAGACCCCCGGAUUCCACUCUGCUCCCGGGAUUCUUCCUUCCCACCAGAGCACCACCAGAUACAGCUUGCUGACUGCUGUUCUAGACCCUCCUCCAGAAGCAGCCUACAGUACUAUGGGCCUCAGUCCCAUCUGAGCAGGAGUGACAUCAGUGGGGUAAGGAAGCUUCACAAUAACUGUUUGAGAUCAGUUAAGAAGAGGCAAUGGCAGCCAUAAUUAGGUCUGUGCAACAUCACUACUGAGGUCCUUCUCCUGGCCGUCCUCCCCAGGGCUCCCUACGCCCUGUCUCAGGUUCCGUCACCUUGGCAAGGAAAGGAGCUUCCCUCCAUCACUUCCAUCUUUUCUUCAGGACAUGCAGAUGGCUAUGUACAUGGAUCCAGAAAAUUCCAGGUCAGCUGAAGCCCUUCAAAGUGGCCCUGGUGGAACAAGCUAGGACAGCUCCAGUGGCUGUGCCACACCCCUCUGGGAGGCCCCUCUCAAGUGAGGCUCCCAAGCACACGUCUAGGACCCUGCCAGCAGAAAGCCGUUGCUCACAACAUCUCCAGCUCUGUAAUAAAUUCUUUACCAUAACA